ACUCCUACGGGAGGCAGCAGUGGGGAAUUUUGGACAAUGGGCGAAAGCCUGAUCCAGCCAUUCCGCGUGAGUGAAGAAGGCCUUCGGGUUGUAAAGCUCUUUCGCAAGGAAAGAAAACUUAUCUCCUAAUACGAGGUGAGGUUGACGGUACCUUGAUAAGAAGCACCGGCUAACUACGUGCCAGCAGCCGCGGUAAUACGUAGGGUGCGAGCGUUAAUCGGAAUUACUGGGCGUAAAGCGUGCGCAGGCGGUUUUGUAAGUCAGAUGUGAAAUCCCCGGGCUCAACCUGGGAACUGCGUUUGAAACUACAAGGCUAGAGUGUAGAAGAGGGGGGUAGAAUUCCACGUGUAGCAGUGAAAUGCGUAGAGAUGUGGAGGAAUACCGAUGGCGAAGGCAGCCCCCUGGGCUAACACUGACGCUCAUGCACGAAAGCGUGGGGAGCAAACAGGAUUAGAUACCCUGGUAGUCCACGCCCUAAACGAUGUCUACUAGUUGUUGGAGGAGUAAAAUCCUUUAGUAACGCAGCUAACGCGUGAAGUAGACCGCCU
rnacentral:rRNA from 1 species